UACGUAGGGUGCAAGCGUUGUCCGGAAUUAUUGGGCGUAAAGAGCUCGUAGGCGGUUUGUCGCGUCGAAUGUGAAAACCCGGGGCUCAACCCCGGGCCUGCAUUCGAUACGGGCAGACUAGAGUUCGGUAGGGGAGAAUGGAAUUCCCGGUGUAGCGGUGAAAUGCGCAGAUAUCGGGAGGAACACCGGUGGCGAAGGCGGUUCUCUGGGCCUUACCUGACGCUGAGGAGCGAAAGCGUGGGGAGCGA
rnacentral:rRNA from 1 species